UUUUGACAGUUUCUAUCUUAUCUCUUGUUUACCUGCUCCUCCGCCUUCAUUCGUUGAAAUGAACACAAAUUCGAUCUAAUUCUCCCACAUCCCUUCUCUAUUCAAUGCACUCUCUCCCGAUUAUCUCAAAAAAACCUAAUACCUACCGCCUCCCCACCUCCACCUUCUUUGUCACAGUCUCCUGGAGCCGUCGCUACCUCCACCCUCAUGAUGUCGUCACUACCUCCACCGGCACCCCUUUACCGUCCCACUUCUACCUUAAUUCGAAAUGAGAAACCCUAAGUCUAUCUCCCCGCCACCAUUACGCCAUCACACAAUGUUUACUGGAAGCCCUAGCCCUAAAGUAGCUCUACCAUCGUCACCAGGCAUACAAACGAACUGAUUUCUCACUCCCCCUUUGUCGAACACCACUGUUACGUCUGGAGCACACCACGACCCACUAUUGUCUUUAUCAUCGUCAUCGCUUUCACUCCGUCUUUCUCUCCACCACCACCGGCUAUCAUCCUGUCGGUGACCUUUACGAUUGCUUGACACAGUUUUCAUUUCUAUGAAUAAACUUAAGGGGGAUUUGUUGCUUCCACCAUAUUCAUAUUUGUUCGAUUCAACACAAAAGAAAAUCAUCUGGCUUGUUUACUGAAUUUUUUGGAUCUUAUAUUUCCUCGAUUUUUUAUAUUUUUAAUUUCAAUGUUUUCUUUUUGUGUUUUAAAGAUAAUGAUAGUGAUGGUGCCUAUUGCACCCUCAACCAUCUACCGCCAUGGAGUCAUCGCCUUCAGCCUGGUCAGUAAGUAACACCAAAGUAGCAUCUGGAGAAGAACACGACGACAAGAAGAAGAUGACAACAUAUUGCAAGGAAAGUAUUCUUUAAGAAUGUGAUUCUCAUAUAUUCUAUGAGAAUGAUUAAAAUUAUUGUAUGAAAGUCGAAGUUAGAUUUCACGGGGUUCGAUUUUUCCUUGGGCUGCCAUCAAAACACAAAUGCAAAGAAAGAAGACCUAGAGUGUGAUUUCAUGGCAAGCAUUCUCACAUAAUGCAAUUAUCAAAAAACGUAUUCACGUAUUUUCUGAGAAUGAUUAAAGAUAUUUGUUUGCUAGUUUAAUUUAAUUUCAUUCUCAUGAGAAUGUGAGAUUUGGAUUUGUAAUUUGUGUAAUGUGAAGAAAGAAUGUUUAUUAUUCAUAUAGAACAUGUUCUUAAGAAUA